rnacentral:tRNA from 1 species
GGUUAUGGCUCAGAGGCAGAGCGCUUGCCUAGCAUGUGUGAGGCCCUGGGUUCGAUCCUCAGCACCA